UACGUAUGGUGCAAGCGUUAUCCGGAUUUACUGGGUGUAAAGGGAGCGCAGGCGGCGCGGCAAGUCCGAUGUGAAAACCCCCGGCUCAACCGGGGGACUGCAUUGGGAACUACCGGGCUGGAGUGCCGGAGAGGUAGGCGGAAUCCCUGGUGUAGCGGUGAAAUGCGUAGAUAUCAGGAGGAACACCAGUGGCGAAGGCGGCCUACUGGACGGUGGCUGACGCUGAGGCUCGAAAGCGUGGGGAGCAAACAGG
rnacentral:rRNA from 1 species